rnacentral:lncRNA from 1 species
GGGGCGGGGCGAGCAGGCACACGGAGCCAGGCAGGUGAGGGAAGGGUCAUGGGAGAGACAAAGGAAGCAGCACGAGGCAGAACGAACCCCACCGCGCCGCGUCCCGAAGCUGGCGCUCGCAGCUCACGUCAGAUUUCACAUGGAGGCGGCAUCAAAGACCCCCAACUGGCCGGGCCCUCGGCAGGACGGCCACCGACCCUUCUCCCGGCCACCGCUCCCAGGGCUAGGCGACAGGCCACGUCAACUCAGUGCGGUUUAAGGAGCAUUUUUUCGAGAAGAGAAAAAAGAAGCGAAAAAAAGGGAAAAAAUGUCCACCUAUGACGGGAGCAGCCAGCCCAAGAUGGAUCAGAAGCGCCAAAUCCCAUUACUCGGGACUUCAGAGGACAGGCCUGGAAAAGCAGCUGCGAUUACGAGCUUGCAAAUGGAGGGUCCUUUGGAGAUCAAAGAGUGACACGUUUGUGUGUGUGUGUGAGUGCACGCGUGUGUGCAGGAACGCGCACUGUGGGGCGACGGCAGUGGGGCUGUGCGCCGCGGCGUGGUGGAGCCUGCCAUGUCACCUGCCCACCACGGCCACCGCCACCCUCCAUGUUGCUUGUGUCCUUGCUGCUGUGUGCAAUGUGUGGAUGCGCCGAGGGGGCCGGUCUGGGUGCCGGUGAGGCCCGGGCCCCACCACCCACACCUGGCCUCAGGCAGUGGGCCCUCUAGGAGGUGGUCCUGGCUGGGCCUCGUCUGCCCACCUGGGCCUCCACCUUCUCCUGGAGUCGGUCCCGUGCCAAGUUUGGCCCAGAUGGGCCUGGCAGGAGCUGAGGGGGCAGGCCCGGCUGCGGGCAGAGCCGGCGUGAGGACAGCCGGUGGCUGCCUGUAACCACCCCUUCUGCUGUCCUGCCCGCAGAGGCCGAGAGCUCCCAGAUGGCCUGGCGAGCGUGUCCUGGAGGUUCAAAGCCUCCGUCAGCGGGAUUGUUAGGUUAUUAGGUAAACUCUGAGAAGCAAAUCUUUUAAUCCACUGUGGCUAAUCCAGUGCACUUUUGUGUGCCACGCAGACCCUGCAGCAACAAAGGGCCCAGGGACCCCGGCAUACAUAAUCACACACUCAGAACU